AAGACGUACCCGAGUAAAAAGUAUUCAGUGUCUCAGGCAAUAGAAGUAAAAAUGAAAGCUGUAUUUUUGAUUGCAUUUGUACUGGCUCUCUUCGCUUUGGCCGCCGCCAAUCCAUCGCCAAAUCCCAACCCAAUCCCCAAACCAAGACCGCAAUUCUGGAACUACGGUUACGGAAUUCGAAUGCCGUACUAUGGAUUAGGUUAUGGAUACUACUAUUAACUGAAAACGGUACUUUGAAAUCUUGACCUCAGAAAUAAAUUUUCUUCUGCA